GAGCACGUAGGUGGGUUUGUAAGUCAGAUGUGAAAGCCUUCUGUUCAACGGAGGAAUUGCAUCUGAAACUGCGAGUCUUGAGUGUAGGAGGGGAGAAUGGAACUUUUGGUGGAGCGGUGAAAUGCGUAGAUAUCAGAAGGAACUCCGGCGGCGAAAGCGAUUCUCUGGCCUAUUACUGACACUCAGUGUGCGAAAGCUAGGGGAGCAAACGGGAUUAGAUACCCCGGUAGUCCUAGCCGUAAACGAUGGGCACUAAGUAGAGGGGUUUU
rnacentral:rRNA from 1 species